AUUGAACGCUGGCGGCAUGCUUUACACAUGCAAGUCGAACGGCAGCACGGACUUCGGUCUGGUGGCGAGUGGCGAACGGGUGAGUAAUACAUCGGCACGUGCCCAGUUGUGGGGGAUAACUACUCGAAAGAGUAGCUAAUACCGCAUGAGAACUGAGGUUGAAAGCAGGGGAUCGUAAGACCUUGCGCAACUGGAGCGGCCGAUGGCAGAUUAGGUAGUUGGUGGGAUAAAAGCUUACCAAGCCGACGAUCUGUAGCUGGUCUGAGAGGACGACCAGCCACACUGGGACUGAGACACGGCCCAGACUCCUACGGGAGGCAGCAGUGGGGAAUUUUGGACAAUGGGCGAAAGCCUGAUCCAGCAAUGCCGCGUGCAGGAUGAAGGCCUUCGGGUUGUAAACUGCUUUUGUACGGAACGAGAAGCUUCGGGUUAAUACCCUGGAGUCAUGACGGUACCGUAAGAAUAAGCACCGGCUAACUACGUGCCAGCCGCCGCCGUAAGAC
rnacentral:rRNA from 1 species